rnacentral:rRNA from 1 species
UACAGAGGUCUCGAGCGUUAGGCGGAAUCACUGGGCUUAAAGCGUGUGUAGGCGGAUCGGUAAGUACCUUGUGAAAUCCCACAGCUUAACUGUGGAACUGCUUGGUAUACUGCCAGUCUUGAGCCACUUAGGGGCUACCGGAACAAAUGGUGGAGCGGUGAAAUGCGUAGAUAUCAUUUGGAACGCCAAUGGUGAAAACAGGUAGCUGGAAGUGUGCUGACGCUGAGACACGAAAGCCAGGGGAGCAAACGGG